rnacentral:rRNA from 1 species
GACGAACGCUGGCGGCGUGCUUAAAACAUGCAAGUCGAACGGACUUCUCAUGAAGCUUGCGAUUGAGAAGUUAGUGGCGGACGGGUGAGUAACGCGUGGGCAACCUGCCCCUGAGCCCGGGAUAACAGUUCGAAAGGACUGCUAAGACCGGAUAUACUUGCGGGGAAGCAUUUCACUGCAAGGAAAGGGAACGCUCAGGGAUGGGCCCGCGUCCCAUUAGCUAGUUGGUGAGGUAACGGCCCACCAAGGCGACGAUGGGUAGCCGGGCCUGAGAGGGUGAACGGCCACACUGGGACUGAGACACGGCCCAGACUCCUACGGGAGGCAGCAGUUGGGAAUCUUCGGCAAUGGGCGCAAGCCUGACCGAGCAACGCCGCGUGAGUGAUGAAGGUUUUCGGAUUGUAAAGCUCUGUCUUCCGGGACGAUAAUGACGGUACCGGAGGAGGAAGGAACGGCUAACUCCGUG